rnacentral:rRNA from 1 species
UACGUAGGUGACCAGCGUUGUCCGGAUUUACUGGGCGUAAAGAGCGCGCAGGCGGUCGUUCAAGUCGAGUGUGAAAGCCCCCGGCUCAACUGGGGAGGGUCACUCGAUACUGAUCGACUUGAAGGCAGGAGAGGGAAGCGGAAUUUCCGGUGUAGCGGUGAAAUGCGUAGAUAUCGGAAGGAACACCAGUGGCGAAAGCGGCUUCCUGGUCCAGCACCGACGUUCAGGCACGAAAGCGUGGGGAGCAAACAGG